rnacentral:rRNA from 1 species
AAUGGGUCAGCGACUUAUAUUCUGUAGCAAGGUUAACCGAAUAGGGGAGCCGAAGGGAAACCGAGUCUUAACUGGGCGUUAAGUUGCAGGGUAUAGACCCGAAACCCGGUGAUCUAGCCAUGGGCAGGUUGAAGGUUGGGUAACACUAACUGGAGGACCGAACCGACUAAUGUUGAAAAAUUAGCGGAUGACUUGUGGCUGGGGGUGAAAGGCCAAUCAAACCGGGAGAUAGCUGGUUCUCCCCGAAAGCUAUUUAGGUAGCGCCUCGUGAAUUCAUCUCCGGGGGUAGAGCACUGUUUCGGCAAGGGGGUCAUCCCGACUUACCAACCCGAUGCAAACUGCGAAUACCGGAGAAUGUUAUCACGGGAGACACACGGCGGGUGCUAACGUCCGUCGUGAAGAGGGAAACAACCCAGACCGCCAGCUAAGGUCCCAAAGUCAUGGUUAAGUGGGAAACGAUGUGGGAAGGCCCAGACAGCCAGGAUGUUGGCUUAGAAGCAGCCAUCAUUUAAAGAAAGCGUAAUAGCUCACUGGUCGAGUCGGCCUGCGCGGAAGAUGUAACGGGGCUAAACCAUGCACCGAAGCUGCGGCAGCGACACUAUGUGUUGUUGGGUAGGGGAGCGUUCUGUAAGCCUGUGAAGGUGUACUGUGAGGUAUGCUGGAGGUAUCAGAAGUGCGAAUGCUGACAUAAGUAACGAUAAAGCGGGUGAAAAGCCCGCUCGCCGGAAGACCAAGGGUUCCUGUCCAACGUUAAUCGGGGCAGGGUGAGUCGACCCCUAAGGCGAGGCCGAAAGGCGUAGUCGAUGGGAAACAGGUUAAUAUUCCUGUACUUGGUGUUACUGCGAAGGGGGGACGGAGAAGGCUAUGUUGGCCGGGCGACGGUUGUCCCGGUUUAAGCGUGUAGGCUGGUUUUCCAGGCAAAUCCGGAAAAUCAAGGCUGAGGCGUGAUGACGAGGCACUACGGUGCUGAAGCAACAAAUGCCCUGCUUCCAGGAAAAGCCUCUAAGCAUCAGGUAACAUCAAAUCGUACCCCAAACCGACACAGGUGGUCAGGUAGAGAAUACCAAGGCGCUUGAG